CCUACGGGUGGCAGCAGUGGGGAAUAUUGGACAAUGGGCGAAAGCCUGAUCCAGCCAUGCCGCGUGAGUGAUGAAGGCCUUAGGGUUGUAAAGCUCUUUCAGUGGGGACGAUAAUGACGGUACCCACAGAAGAAGCCCCGGCUAACUUCGUGCCAGCAGCCGCGGUAAUACGAAGGGGGCUAGCGUUGUUCGGAUUUACUGGGCGUAAAGCGCACGUAGGCGGAUUGUUAAGUGAGGGGUGAAAUCCCAGGGCUCAACCCUGGAACUGCCUUUCAUACUGGCAAUCUAGAGUCCGGAAGAGGUGAGUGGAACUCCUAGUGUAGAGGUGGAAUUCGUAGAUAUUAGGAAGAACACCAGUGGCGAAGGCGGCUCACUGGUCCGGUACUGACGCUGAGGUGCGAAAGCGUGGGGAGCAAACAGGAUUAGAUACCCUUGUAGU
rnacentral:rRNA from 1 species